UACGGAGGGUGCAAGCGUUAUCCGGAUUUACUGGGCUUAAAGGGUGCGCAGGCGGAUAUGUAAGUCAGGGGUGAAAUCUCCGGGCUUAACCCGGAAACUGCCGUUGAUACUAUAUAUCUUGAAUGCCGUGGAGGUAAGCGGAAUAUGUCAUGUAGCGGUGAAAUGCUUAGAUAUGACAUAGAACACCUAUUGCGAAGGCAGCUUACUACACGGAGAUUGACGCUCAUGCACGAAAGCGUGGGGAUCAAACAGG
rnacentral:rRNA from 1 species